rnacentral:rRNA from 1 species
GAUGAACGCUGGCGGCGUGCUUAACACAUGCAAGUCGAACGGAAAGGCCCAAGCUUGCUUGGGUACUCGAGUGGCGAACGGGUGUGUAACACGUGGGUGAUCUGCCCUGCACUUCGGGAUAAGCCUGGGAAACUGGGUCUAAUACCGGAUAGGACGAUGGUUUGGAUGCCAUUGUGGAAAGUUUUUUCGGUGUGGGAUGAGCUCGCGGCCUAUCAGCUUGUUGGUGGGGUAAUGGCCUACCAAGGCGUCGACGGGUAGCCGGCCUGAGAGGGUGUACGGCCACAUUGGGACUGAGAGGCGGCCCAGACCCUUCACGGCGGUAGUACUGGCGAGAGUUGGAUCAUGGGCGAGACCGUGCUGAAAGGAAGAGUCGUGGGGGGUGACAGGCUACCCAAUGCACACACCUCUCGAGAGUUAGGAGUUGUUAGAGUGCCGGUUCCAGGAGAACAAGCCCCGGCUAACUAUGUU